rnacentral:rRNA from 1 species
GACAGAGGGUGCAAACGUUGUUCGGAAUUACUGGGCGUAAAGCGAGUGUAGGCGGUUUGAUAAGUCGGAUGUGAAAGCCCCGGGCUCAACCCGGGAAGUGCACUCGAUACUGUCAAGCUAGAGUAUCGGAGAGGUUGGUGGAAUUCUCGGUGUAGAGGUGAAAUUCGUAGAUAUUAGGAGGAACACCGGUGGCGAAGGCGGCUAUCUGGACGACAACUGACGCUGAGGCGCGAAAGCACGGGGAUCAAACAGG